ensembl:lncRNA
GGGGAGAGAGGGGGUGGGGCAGACAUUGAGAUGGAGGAGGGAGGUAGGCAGUGAGGCAGGGUGAGAGGGGGCUGAGGUGGACAGUGAGGCAGGUGAGAGGGGGGUGAGGUGGACAGUGAGGCAGGGUGAGAGGGGGGUGAGGUGGACAGUGAGGCAGGGUGAGAGGGGGGUGAGGUAGACAGUGAGGCAAGGUGAGAGGGGAGUGAGGUGGACAGUGAGGCAGGGUGAGAGGGGAGUGAGGUGGGCAUAUUUUCUCUACUUUUGCAAAAAUGUUAUACAGAAUGUUAUCAGAUCUUCAACCAAAACCUAAUAUCAGAUAAAGGGAACCUGAGUGAACAAAUAACACAAUAAUUGCUAAAUUCCUCCACAGCGACGUGAGAGACAGAUCAACAACUACAGGAAGUGUUUGGUUGGAGUCAUUACAGCUAAAAGGGGGCACAACCAGUUAUUGAGUGUAAAGGGGAAUUACUUUUCACACAGGGGAAUUGGGUGUGGCAUAAUUUUGUUAAUUAAAUAUAUAAAAUAAGUAUAUAUAUUUU